rnacentral:tRNA from 1 species
GCACGGCGGGGCGGUUCGCGCCCGGCGAGCUCGACGCGCUCGCGCGGCUGCAGCCGGUGGCCGAAGCCGCACUGAGCCCGCUGCUGCGCGC